GACGAACGCUGGCGGCGUGCUUAACACAUGCAAGUCGAACGGAAAGACCUGGUUCUGGGGGUACUCGCGUGGCGAACGGGUGAGUAACAAGUGAGUAAACUACCCUUGUCUUUGAGAUAACUUCAGUAAAGAGGGGCGAGUAACGAACAGAAGCUCCUUCUGCAUGGAGGGGGUUGUAAAGUAUCGGCGGUUGGGGAUGGCCUCGCGGCGUAUCAGCUUGUCGGUGGGGUGUUGGCUUACCAAGGGUUUGACGGGUAGGCGGCCUGAGAGAGUGACCGGCGACACUGGGUCUGAGAGACGGCACAGACAGCGACGGGACGGAGAAGUGGGGAAGCCUGCAGAAUCGGCGGAAGCCGGAUGCUGAAACGCCGCGGGCGGGAUGACGCUGUUAGGAUUGAAAACCGAAUUUGCUCAUGACGAAGCUCUGUGUGACGGUAGUGGGUAAAGAAGCCCCGGCUAACUACGUG
rnacentral:rRNA from 1 species